GGAUGUGAGCACGGUCUGGCUGCGACAUCUGUCACCCUACUGAUCUCCAGGGUUGAUUUGACUGAUCUGGUUGGUUAUAGGCAGGUGUCCCCUUCCUCCUUCACCGCUCUAUGUGCAUCCCACCCAAAGCUGCGCACACGAUGCAAGAGGACAAUAAUCCCAGACAGGAGUGUACUAUUCAGUAUCUUGGAAUUUUGCUUGAAUUGUUAUAACCUACCCAAUACUGAAGGUUCAGGUAGGUAGCCGUGUUGGUCUGAUGCAGUCGAAAUAAAAAUUUAAAAAAUUAAAAAAUUAUCCAGUAGCACCUUAUAGACCAACUAAGUUUGUUCUGGUAUAAGCU